rnacentral:rRNA from 1 species
UGGGGAAUUUUGGGCAAUGGGCGAAAGCCUGAUCCAGCAAUGCCGCGUGUGUGAAGAAGGCCUUCGGGUUGUAAAGCACUUUUGUCCGGAAAGAAAUCCUUGGCUCUAAUACAGUCGGGGGAUGACGGUACCGGAAGAAUAAGCACCGGCUAACUACGUGCCAGCAGCCGCGGUAAUACGUAGGGUGCAAGCGUUAAUCGGAAUUACUGGGCGUAAAGCGUGCGCAGGCGGUUUGCUAAGACCGAUGUGAAAUCCCCGGGCUCAACCUGGGAACUGCAUUGGUGACUGGCAGGCUAGAGUAUGGCAGAGGGGGGUAGAAUUCCACGUGUAGCAGUGAAAUGCGUAGAGAUGUGGAGGAAUACCGAUGGCGAAGGCAGCCCCCUGGGCCAAUACUGACGCUCAUGCACGAAAGCGUGGGGAGCAAACAGGAUUAGAUACCCUGGUAGUCCACGCCCUAAACGAUGUCAACUAGUUGUUGGGGAUUCAUUUCCUUAGUAACGUAGCUAACGCGUGAAGUUGACCGCCUGGGGAGUACGGUCGCAAGAUUAAAACUCAAAGGAAUUGACGGGGU